rnacentral:misc_RNA from 1 species
GGAGGAUUGGAUAUGUUGGGCCAGGUAUAGAAAGGUACAAUUAUAACUUGGAAAGAAUUUUAGGUUCAGUAGCAAAAUGGAGCUUUGGACAUAGAUGUGUUCUUAUUCCAACUUGAUAUAGAGCAUUUCGCUGGCACUUUGAAGAUCAGCUCCAAAAUGGGCCUCAACCCACUGCGGUCCAAUCACGUGGCCCAAGUUUCACAACAAGAACAUUUAAAGCCACAUCACCGAUCAACCCCAGAAGAUACGGCUGGUGUAGUGGCGUUACCAGAGGCGGAAGUGAUUUAGCCCCAUGCUUCUAGGGGCUCUAGCUACCAAGUACCGAGAUCACUGAUGGAACGCUUCCAUGAUUAUAAUGCUCGAAUUUUCCCUCCAUAGCCAUAGUAGUUUAAAAGCCGUUCAUCUUGCCGCCAAUUCUCUUUAACUUUCACUUCUAUCUCGAGAUAAACUUUCUUUUGCAAGAAAUCUUCAAUGUCAAGCCGCGCAGCUGUUGCAAGUAAUUUCAGAGCCUUUCCUUCUUUUCCGAUGAUGAUGAUCUUCUGAGAGUUCUUCUCAACAACUAUCUCUACUUGUAUAAAAUCUUUUGCUGUGGACCUACUUUUGUAAUUCACCACAUUGACCUGACAUGCAUAAGGAACUUCAUUGCGAAAUUGCAUAAAGAUUUUUUCUCUUACAAUUUCAGCUACAAAAAAUCUCUCUGGAUGUUCAC